AAUGCGAUAAGUAAUGUGAAUUGCAGAAUUCAGUGAAUCAUCGAAUCUUUGAACGCACCUUGCGCUCCUUGGUAUUCCGAGGAGCAUGCCUGUUUGAGUGUCAUGGAAUUCUCAACUCUAUUUGCUUUUGUGAAUAGAGCUUGGAUUUGGAGGUUUAUUGCUGGUACUUGUGAUCGGCUCCUCUUGAAUGCAUUAGCUCGAACCUUUGCGGAUCAGCUAUCGGUGUGAUAAUUGUCUACGCCGUUGCAGUGAAGCAUAUCAAUGGGCUCGGCUUCCAAUCGUCCUUUACUGGACAAUGACUUUGACCUUUGACCUCAAAUCAGGUAGGAUUACCCGCUGAACUUGAGC
rnacentral:misc_RNA from 1 species